AUGCAAGUCGAGCGGUAGCACAGGGGAGCUUGCUCCCUGGGUGACGAGCGGCGGACGGGUGAGUAAUGUCUGGGAAACUGCCUGAUGGAGGGGGAUAACUACUGGAAACGGUAGCUAAUACCGCAUAACGUCGCAAGACCAAAGAGGGGGACCUUCGGGCCUCUUGCCAUCAGAUGUGCCCAGAUGGGAUUAGCUAGUAGGUGGGGUAAUGGCUCACCUAGGCGACGAUCCCUAGCUGGUCUGAGAGGAUGACCAGCCACACUGGAACUGAGACACGGUCCAGACUCCUACGGGAGGCAGCAGUGGGGAAUAUUGCACAAUGGGCGCAAGCCUGAUGCAGCCAUGCCGCGUGUGUGAAGAAGGCCUUCGGGUUGUAAAGCACUUUCAGCGAGGAGGAAGGUGGUGAGCUUAAUACGCUCAUCAAUUGACGUUACUCGCAGAAGAAGCACCGGCUAACUCCGUGCCAGCAGCCGCGGUAAUACGGAGGGUGCAAGCGUUAAUCGGAAUUACUGGGCGUAAAGCGCACGCAGGCGGUUUGUUAAGUCAGAUGUGAAAUCCCCGGGCUCAACCUGGGAACUGCAUUUGAAACUGGCAAGCUAGAGUCUCGUAGAGGGGGGUAGAAUUCCAGGUGUAGCGGUGAAAUGCGUAGAGAUCUGGAGGAAUACCGGUGGCGAAGGCGGC
rnacentral:rRNA from 1 species